rnacentral:rRNA from 1 species
GUCCACACUGUAAACGAUGGACACUAGAUGUUGGACCGCAAGGUUCAGCGUCGCAGCUAACGCAAUAAGUGUCCCACCUGGGAAGUACGGCCGCAAGGUUGAAACUCAAAGGAAUUGACGGGGGCCCGCACAAGCGGUGGAGUAUGUGGUUUAAUUCGAUGCAACGCGAAGAACCUUACCUAGGCUUGACAUGCUGGUUAUCAACCUGAAAGGGAAGAGACCCCCUCAAAAGGGGCCAGCACAGGUGCUGCAUGGCUGUCGU